GCUCGGCCCAAUAAACGGUUGGGAGUUGGGACCCAUCGCCUUCGUUCUCCGCUCGCUGUGGCGGCGAGACGAGAGGAUUCCGGCGACAGAUGCGAGAGGGAAGAAGAGGAGAAGAUUUCCGUUGUUGAUUCAGACAAGGCGAAGUGGGGAAAUCUCAGCCGCGACCAUCAGGUGCAGCUCCCGCAGUGUGAUUUGGACUCAGCUCAGCUCCUACUCCCCCCUCCCUGCGCCGCGACCUGAGCUCUGCUCCCACUUGCCUCCUCCUCAGGUGAUUCCGUCCCCUCCUCACAAUCUAGCACGCAUCACCAAUUCUCUCUCUUCCGGCAAGGGAAUCGGCUGCUUAGAGCGUGGAGUUCGUUGGUUAAUCGGUUGUGAUUGCUGCUGAUCCUGCGGGUAGGAACUAGGAAGGCAUGCUGAGCGGCCACGCCGUGACGCUGAGCGAGAGGAGCGCCUCCGGGGCGCGCUUGAUCGAGGAUGCCCCGUCGGAGGCCGGCGACGAGGAGGCCGAGUCCGCCGCGCGGGUGCUGUACCGGGCCUCGUUCCAGGAGCUGAUGCCCGGGUACCUGCUGUACGACACCAUCAUCUGGGCGCUGAUAUCCCUGCUGCUUGUCCUGGCGUGGGGGAUCGGCCUGCUCCUGCUCCUCUACCUGCCGUACAAGAGAUACGUGCUCAAGAGGGACAUCCUGUCCCGCCAACUCUAUGUCACCGAAAAUAACAUAGUGUACAAGGCGACCAGGCCUUCCUACUUGCCGUUCGUGGGGAUAGUCAAGAAAGAGAUUAGAGUACCUCUCCAUUUGAUCGUUGAUGUUAUAAUUGAGCAAGGCUGUCUACAAUCUGCUUAUAGCUUAUACACAUUUAGAAUAGAAAGCAUAGCCCAUGGGAAACCUACUCCAGUGGAUGAACUGCAAUUUCAUGGUGUCUAUAAUCCAGAUCUUCUGAGAAAGGUUAUUAUCAGAGAAGCUUCCAGGAGAAACCAAGAAGUCCUGAUUCAGAGAACUAGAUUGUACUCUGGGGAAGGCCCUUCCUAUAUUCCACCAACUAGUGGAUUUCACUCUCCUAGUUCCAAGUAUGUGCAGGUUAAAGCUUCCUCAAGCCGUGAUGUCCUCUAUUCUAAGGGAAAAGAUCCUAACAGCAUAUUGCUCAACAAGCUUGAAGAAGUUAGUCGAUCAGUAAAGAAUCUUGAGUCUCUCCUCAUAGGAUCACAUACAAUAGAAUGAUCUGAUAGAGAUGAUCAACACAUAUUCUGAUAUCAUCUUCUAUGAUUUACUCUCAAACAUGGAAACAACUGGAGGCACGAGUUGAGUCCUGCAAACACCAUGGAGAAUAAUGUAACAACUGUUGGUGCUGAAAAUGAGUUUCUAGCUUGAUUUCAUGGCAGUUAUUUGAUGUACAUAAGUCAUGCUGAUUCUUCCAAGUUUCACAAUUCCAUGUACAAAGGAAUACAUAAUCAAUGGGUUAGAUUACAAAGUAGAUCAACAUACAUGGUCUAAUUUGGUGACAUAGAAACAUAAGAUCUGUGAAUGUUAAUAUUGAAGAGUUAUGCAUGGUACAACUAUUAUGCCUGUUGAACUCAAUGCUGAAGCCUGUGGUGAUGAUUAAAUUGCCAUUAUGUAUACUAAUGGUGUCCAAUAAGAGGUAACAUCGUUUUUUGGGGGUUUUAUGCCAACCAUUUGAAGGUGUAGAACUGCAUGCUUGGUCCUGCAGCUUGUUCUAACCUGAUUAUUACCUGCUCGUUAUCAGUCAUGUACUCCUCCGUUCUUAAACACAUGAUGUUUAGGACAAGCUAAUUAGUCAAGCUUGUCUUAAACGUCAGAUUGUACCAUUCUGUCUAAAUUCAAAUAAUGUGUACGUUUUCCAA